ACUCCUUUAGUAUAACUAAUAUAGCUGACUUCCAAUUAGCUGAUUCUGAUAAACCUCAGAAAAGAGUA
rnacentral:tRNA from 1 species